AAAGGGUGUGAGAAAUGCAUGUGAGAAACCUAAAAAUGAUUGUUUGUAGCCAGCACUUUCAGCCAGAGGAUUUUGAAACGGAAGUCUGAAAAAAGUGAUGGUAUUCCAUCGAUUUCCCUCUUCUCUUCAAAGAGGAAGGCAUCCGAUCAGCCAACAUCAGUGCAACAGAAAAGAAGCCAAGCUGAGACUAAUCCUGCUACUGAGGACGACCUUGACACCAACGUUAGUAGUACAGAGCCCGUAGACCCAUUGGAUGAAAUCUUUCAGCCUAGAAUAAGCCUAAGAUCAACAUCAUCUGACGUUGAAACAAGCCAGGACAGCCAAAGGGGACUUGCGGUACAUACAAAUCUUCUGCGAGAGGUCGAAGCAGUGGCAAGUGAAGAACAUCGCCAAAGCCUGCUAAACCAGCUGCCAUUACCCUUCACAAGCAGAGGUUCACCAGCUGAAGAACAUUCAACUAAAACCACAUCCAUAUUCAGUUAGACUCGUGUUCUAGUAUAAUAUAGAUUGAAGGAUGCCAUGAUUUCGACUGUCCGAGAAACACAGCCUGCCAGUCUGUCUCGUCCCGACUCCCGAUCAUUACUAUGGGACAGCUGGAGAUCGAAUUUGAAUAUUGAAACAAGGUUGCAAAUGUCGGAGAGACAAACAGCAAGAUUUAUACAAAUCUCCGCUGUUGAAAACUAAAUGUUAGUCUAAAGAUAUGUGAAAUAAUGUCUAGAUGCAUUUUAUAGUGGAGAUCAAGUUUAUAAAUUGCCUGGCUGGGCUGAUGAGAAAGUGGAUUGUGCAGUCAGAUUAUAGA